GGGUUUGUGGCUCAGUGGUUGAGCACUCACCUAGCAUGUGUGGGGCCCUGGGUUCCAUCCUCAGCACCA
rnacentral:tRNA from 1 species